rnacentral:rRNA from 1 species
AUGCCUACGGGUGUGCUCGACGGUAUUGCACCUAAAGUGACACAGGGCAUGAAUAAUAUUUUGUGUGCGCCCUUCUCUGAGGAGGAAGUGUCGAAUGCUUUGUUUCAGAUCGGCCCAAUUAAAGCACCUAGUACAGAUGGCCUGCCGGCUAGGUUUUUCCAACGCAAUUGGGCUGUUUUGAAGACGGAGAUUAUAGCUGCGGUGUUGGAUUUCUUCAAGUCAGGAGUAAUGCCAGAGGGAGUGAACGAUACGGCCAUCGUCCUUAUUCCAAAAGUUCCUCAUCCAAUGGAACUAAAGGAUUUUAGUCCGAUAAGUCUUUGUAACGUGCUAUAUAAAAUCGUGUCUAAAUGCUUGGUUAAUCGUCUAUGA